rnacentral:tRNA from 1 species
GUCCCCGUAGUUCAACGGAUAGAACGAGAGACUCCUAAGCUCUAGAUAUAGGUUCAAUUCCUGUCGGGGACACAA